UACGAAGGGUGCAAGCGUUAAUCGGAAUUACUGGGCGUAAAGCGUGCGCAGGCGGUUUUGUAAGCCAGGUGUGAAAUCCCCGGGCUCAACCUGGGAAUGGCAUUUGGGACUGCAAGGCUGGAGUGCGGCAGAGGAGACUGGAAUUCCUGGUGUAGCAGUGAAAUGCGUAGAUAUCAGGAGGAACACCGAUGGCGAAGGCAGGUCUCUGGGCUGACACUGACGCUCAUGCACGAAAGCGUGGGGAGCAAACAGG
rnacentral:rRNA from 1 species